rnacentral:rRNA from 1 species
CUACGGGAGGCACCAGUGAGGAAUAUUGCACAAUGGGGGAAACCCUGAUGCAGCAACGCCGCGUGGAGGAUGACGCAUUUCGGUGUGUAAACUCCUUUUAUAUGAGAAGAAAUUUGACGGUAUCAUAUGAAUAAGCACCGGCUAACUCCGUGCCAGCAGCCGCGGUAAUACGGAGGGUGCAAGCGUUACUCGGAAUCACUGGGCGUAAAGGACGCGUAGGCGGUUUAAUAAGUCAGAAGUGAAAUCCUACAGCUCAACUGUAGAACUGCUUUUGAAACUGUUAAACUAGAGUUCGGGAGAGGCAGAUGGAAUUUCUGGUGUAGGGGUAAAAUCCGUAGAGAUCAGAAGGAAUACCGAAAGCGAAGGCGAUCUGCUGGAACGAUACUGACGCUGAGGCGUGAAAGCGUGGGGAGCAAACAGGAUUAGAUACCCUCGUAGUC